UACGUAGGGUGCAAGCGUUAUCCGGAAUUAUUGGGCGUAAAGAGCUCGUAGGCGGUUUGUCGCGUCUGCUGUGAAAACUGGAGGCUCAACCUCCAGCCUGCAGUGGGUACGGGCAGACUAGAGUGUGGUAGGGGAGACUGGAAUUCCUGGUGUAGCGGUGGAAUGCGCAGAUAUCAGGAGGAACACCGGUGGCGAAGGCGGGGUCUCUGGGCC
rnacentral:rRNA from 1 species